AAUGAGAUUGAAUUUGAGCGGCGUGUUAGAAAACAGAAACACAGGAAGAGAGCUUAAGCAACAGCUCUCGCGCCAUGAACAUACUCCUCCAAAUUCCUUCUUCCUUCUCUCCACUUUCUCUCUCCUCCUUCACUCUUCUCUCUCCUUCUCUCAUCCAUUUCCCCAAAUUAGGGUUUCAUUCCCCCAAAUUACCUCCCAAUUUCCGAUUUCGCCCCCUUUUCACAUCCCCAAAUUCUCUAUCCUCCGUCGAAAAUCAAAUUUCCGACGCCGAAGAAGAUGAUUUCUACGACGAAGACGAUGAAGCUGCCGAUGAAUACGACGUCGAUUCUGUUGCCGCCGAUGUUGCGGAAGUUUCCGGUGAGCUGGAGGAAGACGACGAAGUUGACAGUCUUGAGACUCAAGACGAGGAGUUAAACGCGUCGUUUUGGAGUAGCAAUGAUUCUAAGUUGCAGAGAGUUCAGAAGUUGUGUGAUGAAGUCAGAGAGUUUGGUGCUGAUAUUAUUGACGCCGAUGAACUCGCUUCUAUCUAUGAUUUUCGUAUUGAUAAAUUUCAGAGACUGGCGAUCAAAGCAUUUUUGAGAGGUUCGUCAGUUGUGGUCUCGGCACCAACAAGUAGUGGCAAGACGUUGAUAGCCGAGGUGGCGGCGGUGGCGACAGUAGCAAAAGGAAAGCGGUUGUUAUAUACUACUCCGCUUAAAGCAUUGUCAAAUCAAAAAUUUCGGGAGUUCAGGGAUGCAUUUGGAGAGAGUAAUGUUGGCCUUUUGACAGGAGAUUCUGCUAUUAACAAAGAUGCUAAAGUUUUGAUUAUGACAACGGAAAUUUUGCGAAAUAUGCUGUAUCAAAGUGUUGGAGUGGUUUCUUCUGGGAGUGGGCUUUUUGAUGUUGAUGUAAUUGUUUUGGAUGAAGUACAUUAUCUAAGUGAUACGUCUCGUGGUACUGUUUGGGAGGAGACAGUCAUCUAUUGCCCAAAAGAAGUUCAGCUUAUUUGUCUGUCAGCAACCGUUGCAAAUCCAGAUGAGCUAGCUGGUUGGAUUGGACAGAUUCAUGGAAAAACAGAAUUAGUAACAUCAUCAAAACGUCCUGUACCAUUGACGUGGCUUUUUUCUACGAAGACCUCUUUACUUCCUCUUCUUGAUGAGAAAGGAACCAGUAUGAACAGGAAAGUUUCAGUCAGCUAUCUACGUCUCUAUGCUUCAGGAGAGAGUUCUCACAAUGAUGAGGGAUCUAGACGUAAGAAUUCCAGAAGACGUAAAGAUGACAGUGAUUUGAUAUAUGAGGAGUAUGGUAGAUCGUCUAGACAAUCUUCUCUGUCAAAAAAUGACAUAAACAUGAUACGACGUUCACUUGUUCCUAAAGUUGAAGAUACAUUGGAACAUCUUAAAGGAAGAGAUAUGCUGCCUGCAAUAUGGUUUAUUUUUAGCCGAAAAGGGUGCGAUGCUGCUGUUCAAUACCUUGAAGGUUCCAAGCUUCUGGACGAGUGUGAGAAGGUUGAAGUGGAACUGGCCCUGAAGCGGUUCCGUAUUCAGUAUCCUGAUGCUGUCAGAGAACCUGCUGUAAAGGGCCUGCGUCGAGGUGUUGCUGCGCAUCAUGCUGGUUGUCUUCCCCUGUGGAAAUCAUUCAUAGAGGAGCUUUUUCAGCGGGGCCUCAUUAAGGUAGUUUUUGCCACGGAAACUCUUGCUGCAGGGAUUAAUAUGCCUGCAAGGACAGCUGUUAUUGCUUCUCUCAGCAAAAGGAGUGAAGCUGGACGUAUCCAGCUAAGGUCCAAUGAGUUGCUUCAGAUGGCAGGCCGUGCUGGACGUCGAGGUAUAGAUGAAAAGGGUCAUGUAGUACUUGUUCAGGGUCCCUUUGAAGGUGCUGAAGAAUGCUGUGAGCUUCUAUUUUCUAGUGUGGAGCCUCUUGUUUCACAGUUUACAGCUUCAUAUGGAAUGGUUUUGAACCUUCUUGGGGGCGCAAAAGUUACCCGGCGAUCAAAUGAAGUGGAUGGCAUCAAGGUUUCUCAAGUCGGACGAACUUUGGAAGAGGCAAGGAAGUUAGUUGAGCAAAGUUUUGGAAAUUACCUCGGGAGUAAUGUAAUGCUUACUUCAAAAGAGGAGCUUGGAAGAAUUCAGAAAGAAAUAGAGCUAUUAACUGCAGAAGUCAGUGAUGAUGCGUUUGAUAUGAAAAUCAGGAAGUUGUUGUCUGAAUCAGCGUACCAAGAGAUUACUGGUUUGCAGGAAGAAUUAAGGGUAGAAAAACAACUCCGAGUUGAAUUUCGACGAAGGAUGGAAUUGGAGAGGAUGUCUUCUUUUAAACCUUUAUUGAAGGAGUUGGGAGAUGGAAACUUACCUUUUCUGUGUCUAGGAUACAAGGAUACCGAUGGUAUUGAGCACUCAAUUGUUGCAGUAUACUUGGCAGAGGUUCAGUCACUUGACGGGUCAAAAAUAAAGAACCUUGUACAGAAUGAUGUUUCUUUUAAGCUGAACAUGGUGGAAGCAGAGACAAGUAGUGAUGCUUCUGGAAGGCUGCCAUGUUUUGAGCCAUCUUAUCAUGUGGCUCUUGGUUCAGAUAAUUCUUGGUAUCUUUUCACUGAAAAGUGGAUCAAAGCAGUAUACAGAACAGGUUUUCCAAACAUGGCUUUGAAUGAAGGUGAUGCUUUACCAAGAGAUAUUUUGACCACGCUUCUUGAUAAGGAAGGAAUGGAAUGGGCAAGGUUUGUUGAUUCUGAAUUGGGAAAUUUAUGGCAUAUGGAAGGAUCCCUGGAGACGUGGUCUUGGAGUUUAAAUGUUCCUAUGUUGAGUAGCCUGUCUGAAGAAGAUAAGGCAUCACACAUGUCACCAGCACAACUUGAGGUGGUAGAAUGCUAUAGAAAACAAAGAAAUAAAGUUUCGCACUUGAAGAAAAAGAUUACCCGUGCAGAAGGCUUUAGAGAAUACAAGAAGAUUUUGGAUAUGGCAAAGUUAACUGUGGGAAAGAUUAGGCGCCUGAAGACCAGAGAGAAACGCUUGAUUGAUCGAAUUGAGAGAAUUGAACCCUCGGGAUGGAAAGAGUUUUUGCAGAUUAGCAAUGUGAUUCAUGAAACAAGAGCAUUAGAUAUCAAUACAAAUGUGAUAUUUCCUCUAGGAGAAACUGCAUCUGCGAUGCGAGGAGAAAAUGAACUUUGGCUUGCAAUGGUUCUUCGAGACAGAGUACUGUUGGACCUACAGCCAGCACAACUAGCUGCUGUCUGUGGGAGCCUAGUUUGUGAAGGGAUAAAAGUCCGACCAUGGAAGAAUAACAGCUAUAUAUACGAGCCUUCUUCCACUGUGAUUAACGUUAUAAACCAUUUGGAGGAACCCAGGAAUUAUCUAUUGCAGCUUCAAGACAAACAUGAUGUACAGAUAUCUUGCUGCUUGGAUAGCCAAUUUUCUGGUAUGGUAGAAGCAUGGGCCUCUGGUCUAACUUGGCGGGAAAUCAUGAUGGAUUGUGCAAUGGAUGAGGGUGAUCUGGCUAGACUCUUACGACGGACAAUUGAUUUAUUAGCACAAAUUCCCAAGUUGCCUGAUGUUGACCCAAUCUUACAGAGCAAUGCAAAGAUAGCAUCUGGUGUUAUGGACCGUUCACCAAUUAGUGAGCUAUCUGGAUAAUUUCUUUUUUUAAACGGUGAAUUCAGGAGCACGAAAGCAUGGUUCUCCCGAGAACACAAUUUAAUAGUUGGGUUAAAUGGGUUUAAACCUAAGGGGGUAGUACUCGGUUUGACUCAUAUAUUCCUCUGAUAGUACUUUUUAUGACUGCUAAAGAGGGGACCUGCAAGGUGUAUUUGCUUCAGCAGUUUAAAAAAUUAGAAAAGAAGUAUGAUUUGUAUGCAUGAAUAGGCACAUCUGCUAUAGGCAAUCUUUGAAGCAAGGUAUAUCUUUGAUUCAGUGUAUAUUUCAUUUUUUAAUUAACAUACUUGAAUUCAUGUACGCCUCAAGCUAGAAGGUCUUAUAGGAGUACGCAGCAUAGAUUUUGAACACUUUUAGUCAAAUACUUGUAGCUUUGCUGUAAAUAUACUAGUGCAGUAGUGUUUCGAGUUGCUUCUCUUUAUUUUGAUGUAUAGUACAUUAUUAUCAGUGUCAUUGUGUCAAGGUUUAGAUAUGCAGGCUUUGUUGAAACUUUUGUGUAUGGUCCAAAUGUAGAAUCUCUUGUAAGGAAUGAUGUAUCAGCUCCUGUAAAUUUGAUUGUUUAAGCUAAUGAUAAGAUUCUAUAGCAAGAUGAAGAAUCAUUCUUUUUCCC